rnacentral:lncRNA from 1 species
CGGAAGUUCCUCUUGGCCUUCAGCUCCAAGAACUUGAGCUUGCACUCGUCGCUCACCGCCAUUCCCGACGCCGCGUUCGCCUUGACGAAGUGCACAUGCAACACAGACGAUUCACCGUCGUUAGAGAAUGGAUCGAAUGCUCUCCGUUAUCCAUUCUGAGGAGAGUACUGAAAGAGAAAGAACGAGCUCACCAUGGUUUCUCUCCAACGAGGGGCGAGAUGGGCAACGAAGGUUGAGGAAGCUGGGAAAAGAAACGAUGAGGGGGGAGGAAGGAGGAGGACGCGAUGCUUGUGAGGGGGAGGAGGAGGAGGAGGGGAGAAUACGAUGGUGG